GUUUCUAUUGAGCUCCAAUGGGAACUCCAAAACUCAAAUUCUUUAAAGGAGGAGAGGCUGCAGAAUUUUCCAAAGAACAGGCAGUUAGUUGAGUUUAGGAGACACACAGCCAGGAGCUGUGCCCGACCAGAGGGCCCCUGACACCAGAGGGUGCUCCCCACUCCCUCAGAGGGACCAGAUGCCUCCACGGCCAUGUUUAGCAAAACCUCAAUUUUGGGCGCCCCACAUUUUCCCUUUGAAAGCAUAAUCUCAAGGGAGAGGCUGUGCUUGGAGAAGCCAGAGUCAUCCGACAGCCUGGAACAGCAAGGGAGGCUGGGAAAACGCCAAUGUCUGCCAAUCAGGAACAUACGAACUGCACUAUGGGAAACUCCCCAACACAGGGUGAGCAUUCAGAAGAUGUUGGGCAGCCUCGAACUUCCUCCAGAGCCCCUUCCAUGGUCCAAUUUGCAUCGAGGUUAGCCUUCCCCAGCGGGAGGCUGGAGUUGGAACCAGGCCAGGAGGGAAUAAAACCUUGGGGAAUUAGUCAAACCCACUUCACCUGCCUUCAGGAACCAAGGUCAUGGACAGAAGACUUGCGUGUCCUCCAGCGGCACUUAGCCUAAUCGAGGUGUUUUCCAGGGACUUGGAAUCAGCUGUGCCCAGUUCUAGCUGAGCUGGUUGAGACUGGAUGAGACCACGGACCCUCCAACUGGGCAUGCGCCGGUGUCCGCUCAGUGACCUUCCAAAAGUGCAGAGGCCUGUAGCCUAGUUACACCUGCGCAGAACGACAAUGACACCUUUUUCCAAUUACCUUUCCCCAUGCAGCCCACGCCCCCCCCAUGCCACAGACCACCCCGCUUCUUAAUUCGUUAUCCCAUAAAUACCCCAGCCCCUCGCCUGUGGGAGGCGAAUAUUCAGAUUCUUUUCAUGUCUCCUCGUUUGGCUGCCUUGCAAGUUCAACCUGCUUUUUACUGCAAACCUUGGCAUCACAGCAUUUUGGCCUGCUGAGCAUCAAGCAAAAGGAAGCUAGUUCAGAAGCAAUAAACGAUGGCAAGAGAUGAUAGGGACAGAAUUGGGCCAGUGGUGGCCAAGAUGCAGGAAAGGGGCUGGAUCUGGGAAAGCUUUAGGAGGCAGGCUCAGCUAGGAUUUGAAAAUGAGGGCACUCAAGUGAAACCAAAGAGAUGGCCAACGUGUGAAAGCAUCAUAAUCCCACAUCAGGCAAAAGUGAUGGCAUCAGGAAAAAGGACCAUCAAGAGGGUGGCUCUUUCAGGGAGGGAAGUGGGGGUGAAGGGGGGACUCUAAGUGUUGCAUUCACGGCACGUUGGUCUUCCAACCUUUGCAAAAGCUAUUCUCCUGAGGCAGCCUUCUUUUAUUCUCGGUUAUUGCUUUUCGGGGACAUAAUUGCUACAGAGACUUGGCAGGGGUGGGCGCUGGGGUCCUAGAGGGGGCUGAGUCUGUGGCGUGUUCAGCAUUUAAUCCCAGGGUCUUGGCAUAAGGGCUCCCCACGUUGGGCAUUCGGUGACUGCUGGACUAGAGCAUCAAGAAGGUCCCUUUGACUAGCGAAAUAAGAAAGGGAAAAAGCAUUCUGUGUCCUUAGCCCUCGUUUAAGCAAGGGUGUUCUUGAGCGUGAGCAACAGCCUCCGGCUUCACUGGAUGUUUUAUCUGCACCAGGAAGGCAGCUGAGGGAUUGGGAGUGGGGCAGAGCCAUCAGGAAGGUCCUGUUCGCCUCAACUCUUGACCACACUUUGAACCCGUGGAAAGAUUUGAAAGUCUGGCUGUAAAAUGGGAGCGGAGAAGGCGAGGGAAAGAGAGGAGUUCAAAGUCUGACUCUUGUUUACCAGCGGUAAACACCCAGGCAAGUUUAUUUAGCCUCACGCGUCUCAGAGGCUUUGAAACAACAGGCGACAGAACCUUUCUGCGCUGAGGGUGAGAUGGGUCCAAACACGUGCGCACUUAGAAGAGAGAGACCCAUGCGGUAAACACGCUGCUCCGUGAACCCUGAUUCUCGCGAGAUUUUCUGCAUUAAGUCAGCCAAGCGGACCGCAAGCCAUGCUUUUGGGAUUUUGCCCCUGGUCUUCCCUCCCUCGCCUGGAAAGCCUUUCCUUCCGACUCUUCCAUGCAAUUCCUUCUCAACCUAUAGGUUUCAGCUCCAAUGUCCCCUCUUCUGACCACUUAACCUAAAAGCCCCUCCCACCAGGCAGCCCGUUUAAUGUCUUCAGGGGACUUCAGGCACAGACUCUUCCCCAAUAUCCUCUGUUUUAGGGCCUCUGUAAAGUACCCAGAUGACAGUAUCCAAUGCACGUUUCCUGAGUUGUUUUCCCGAUGCUAAAACCCCCACCAAAUGGAAGAAGUUCACCGCUUGAUGAUCGUGAGCUCCCAGACCUACUGGCGCCUAAGAAUUGAUCAGGUUAAUCCCUGUUCCCGCGCCAUCAACUAGUCGGAACUGUGCCUGAGCAGGUCACAUACCCUGGGACUCCUUUCCCUCACCUGGCCUUUAAAAAUGCUGUCCUGAAACCCACCGGGAGUUCGAGCUUUUUGAGCACUAGCGGCCUCAGACUCCUUGUCUCUGCCUUGCAAUAAACGCGACCCUUUGCUUCACCACCGCCAGGUGUCAGUAGACUGGCUGUGCUGUGGGGCCAAUGGACCCAAGUUUUGGUUCAGUAACAAGCCUACAGGCAGGCGCCCUGCCCCCUCAUUCCUUGAGGUACAGAGAAUGUGUUUUCCACUGUCCUCUGGCCGCCUCCACAUUCUUCCGUCUUUGAGUUCAAGCAUGUGGUGUUAGGAGGAUAACCCUGUGUCUUUGCCCUGAAGGCCUCCCCAUCUCGUGGUGGUAGGGGUUGGCUUUUCCCUUUAAGAACCACUCAACCCUCCCCCAUUCUCAGCCGCCAUCACUGGGGUGGGGCUGCCUCCAUCCCUGACUGCAGAAGAGAACCGGGGAUUUUUGGUACCAGGGGAAUCUAGGCCGGGCCAGCUUGAAUUUGAGUUGAUGGGUUUGCUGGAGAGAGGAAAGAAAAGCAGAGAGAUGGAAUGCAAAAGCAGACUCCUGAGUCCAGCUGUGCCUGAAGCCCACUUUAUCCCUUGAGGCUUUCCUCCCAUGAGUCAAUGGACUCCUUCUCAGCCUGCACCAGUUAAAGAUAGGUUUCUGUCACUUGAAAGAUUUCUGCUUCUGGAUCAGAGACGCCCACGGGGGAAAGGUCAUGGGGAGAGGCACAGUUCCCAUCACAGUGGGCUUCCCCCAGGGUUCCACUGCACUAGGUCUGCUGUUGGAACAGCUCAUCACCCCAGCAGUGCCCCAGCCUCAGCUCCUGGUCCUCUUCCUGCUUGAUAUAUUUCUUGAGAAUCUUCUGAGCCCCAGGACACAUGGGGAGGCUGGGAGGACAACUCAAAUAGCCACAAAGAGGCUGGAUGUGAAAGCAGACGCUACUGUUUCCAACACUAACGCUGGGGAGGGGGUGGCCUGCGGGCAGACUGAUGAGUUGGGGGUGGAUCCGAGCCUGGUGCAAUGGGUGGAAUUUGAGUAGACAGCAAACAAAAAGCGUAGAAUAAUGCCGAUCAAUCGGCUUCCCCUUCUGAUAACUAAUGACUGUUUAAUCCGUACUAUGUCAGGCAUCUUUAAAGAGAUUUAUUUAGAUUAACUUGCUUAAUCCUCACAACUAUUCUGGAAGGGGCCAGUAAACUGAUUUUCUACAGCAUGAAACUGACAUGGAAAAAAUGAAGACAUUUUCCAAAGUCAUAAUACCGCUGGGGGACAAGUACAGGAUUUGAACCCAAGCUGUUCCUAGCUGCCUCCGUCACCCAGGCCACCGUCCCCUUCCCGCUGUGCUCAAGGGCAGACACACUGAUCCUUGGCCUCCUAGUCUAGGCCUGUCUGACUCGCAGUAAGGGUUCUAAUUUUUUCUAGGGGCCAAGGACUCCUGAGACAAAAAUUCCUGCCCUCCUGCAGCUUACAGUCCAGGUGGAUAACUGACAAUACAGGGAUCAACAGACAUAGGCAAGAUGCCAGCUGUGACAAACAUGAUGAAGAAAAUAGUGCAAGGCAAAGAGAUAAAGACUAUUUUAGUGCAGUUGGGAAAGGAGGCCAAUUUUUAGGAAAGAUCUACAUGAGGCAAGCUCUGUGAAGACUGGAGAGAAGACUGUUUCAGGCAGAGCGACCAUCACGUACUGAGACAUGGCAGAGGGACCAAGCUGGGUGUGUCCCUGGAAGAAGAGAUGUGACUGAGCAGCAGCCGAGGGUGCAGAGCAGGGCUGGGAAGAUCUGAUGAGCAUCCAAAGACCACCCCCGACCCCGACCCUGGCAGCAGUGUGUCUAACAGACCUUUGAGGCUACAUGCUCAUUCCUGGAUCUUUCUCAAGACCAGGGAGAUGCGACCCUCAUAGGCUGAGGUCUGAGUCGAGCAGGGGGCAAAGGUGGUUCUCCAGAGAAAUACCUGGCACCUGGAAGGAAGAUGAGCGGAUUCCAGAUGGCUGAAGAAAUGGGGUUCACUCCGGGAGCUCCUGGUCUGCUCUCAAGGAUCGCCUCCAGGAACCCGCCCAAUGUCCACCGCCCCGCUUCUUCCUUGUAGACACGCACAUGGGGCCAGUGCUGGCACCACAAAUCUGUCCCUGCCUGCUGCUUGCUACCCACACAUCUGUCUUGCCUUCUCUGAUGGCUCAGAGGUUUGCAAACACGUGUCCUGGGCCAGAUGCAGCCCACGCAGGCUGUUUUCAUCCAGCCCCUGAAUGAAAAUGAUUUUUAUGCUAUACACACACAAGAGCAGGUGAUAAAGACCACACCUGGUCUGUGAAGCCUAAACUAAGCACAAUCUAGCCCGUUGCAGAAUGUUCGCUGAUCAAAAGCCCUUUAGGAAGGGCCUUUUGUUCCAUCUCUGCAUCUCUAACGGGAUAGGUUCCAAUGGCAACAUCUGAUUGCGUCAGCCUGGAGUCAGCCCUCUUUGAUCACUAAAUGCUGUGUUUCAGAGAGCACGUGGAGGAUCCAGUCCUGCCAGCUGGGUUUCCAUACAACGGCCAGAGUGAAAGGGGGGUCGGGACAGGGAAGGGGGACUACCCUUUGUCCCUGCUCAGCACCCACUCUGCUUCUUUGCAUCACGGUGGGGGGGUCCAUUUGCCAACACCCCGCCCCACCCCAAAGUUCUUGUAGAAAACCUGAAACUCCCCCCGCCCAGGUAAUAUGUCCAUUUUCCCUCACCAGCCAUUUAAACAGCGUCCCUGGCUCCCUCAUCCCAAAGCCAAAGAUAGACAACAGGUGUCCCCAUUUUUCUACCAACAUUUCCCAACUUCUGGCUUAGGAAACUAAGCAAACUAAGGCUCUGGUUCGCUGCUGUUGUUUUUGGCAGGGCUCCAGGAAGAAGCUGAAUCCCUGCAUGUGACUUGAAAGGCGAUUGUCUCCGGAGAAGCCUAUCUUCCUUCCCACCUUGAACUUGUGGUUGCCUGAUGUCUAGAGUGCUUUGUGAACAAAUAAAGAGGAAAGGAAAACACAGCAAAUUCAAAUGCUGUACAUCCCCCCCGCCCCCCAUCCCCCAAACUCCAUAUUAAAAGUUCAGCCCUGAGAAGGGCUGGUUUUCUGAAUACAAACCUUUAUGAAAACCCUCUAAGAUGUGUUCUCUUAUCAACACCCCCAGAUAAUUUAUUUGGAUAUGAACGAGGGUUUCAGCCUAAGAGGGGAAAAAAAAAAGUUAAACAUCUCUGAAAAUAAAAUUCCCAUUCAUGCUCGAAGUUUACAUUCCUAACAUUAUUUCCAUGUGCCUGUCAGAGCUGGAAAGAGGAAGGAAAAAACCCCGGAGCCUUCAGACCAAGGCUUUGCCUGUCGUGUAUUUUUAUGGGCAGGCAGUGUCUGCCGCCACCUCUGGGGAAUGGGCUUCCAGCACUCACCUCCUGCGGGGAUUUGGGAUUCGA